CCUACGGGAUGCACCAGUGGGGAAUAUUGGACAAUGGGCGAAAGCCUGAUCCAGCAAUGCCGCGUGUGUGAAGAAGGUCUUCGGAUUGUAAAGCACUUUCGACGGGGACGAUGAUGACGGUACCCGUAGAAGAAGCCCCGGCUAACUUCGUGCCAGCAGCCGCGGUAAUACGAAGGGGGCUAGCGUUGCUCGGAAUGACUGGGCGUAAAGGGCGCGUAGGCGGUUUAUGCAGUCAGAUGUGAAAUCCCCGGGCUUAACCUGGGAACUGCAUUUGAGACGCAUAGACUAGAGGUCGAGAGAGGGUUGUGGAAUUCCCAGUGUAGAGGUGAAAUUCGUAGAUAUUGGGAAGAACACCGGUGGCGAAGGCGGCAACCUGGCUCGAUACUGACGCUGAGGCGCGAAAGCGUGGGGAGCAAACAGGAUUAGAUAC
rnacentral:rRNA from 1 species